rnacentral:rRNA from 1 species
AUACUUAGUACGGCGAGUGAGCGGUAAAAGCUCAAAUUUGAAAUCUGGUACUUUCAGUGCCCGAGUUGUAAUUUGUAGAAUUUGUCUUUGAUUAGGUCCUUGUCUAUGUUCCUUGGAACAGGACGUCAUAGAGGGUGAGAAUCCCGUUUGGCGAGGAUACCUUUUCUCUGUAAGACUUUUUCGAAGAGUCGAGUUGUUUGGGAAUGCAGCUCAAAGUGGGUGGUAAAUUCCAUCUAAAGCUAAAUAUUGGCGAGAGACCGAUAGCGAACAAGUACAGUGAUGGAAAGAUGAAAAGAACUUUGAAAAGAGAGUGAAAAAGUACGUGAAAUUGUUGAAAGGGAAGGGCAUUUGAUCAGACAUGGUGUUUUUUGCAUGCACUCGCCUCUCGUGGGCUUGGGCCUCUCAAAAAUUUCACUGGGCCAACAUCAAUUCUGGCAGUAGGAUAAAUCAUUAAGAAUGUAGCUACCUCGGUAGUGUUAUAGCUUAUUGGAAUACUGCUAGCUGGGAUUGAGGACUGCGCUUCGGCAAGGAUGUUGGCAUAAUGGUUAAAUGCCGCCCGUCUUGAAACACGGACCA